GACGAACGCUGGCGGCGUGCUUAACACAUGCAAGUCGAACGAUGAAGCCCAGCUUGCUGGGUGGAUUAGUGGCGAACGGGUGAGUAACACGUGGGCAACCUGCCCCAAACUCUGGGAUAACUCCUCGAAAGAGGUGCUAAUACCGGAUACGAACUAGACAGACAUCUGUACUAGUUGGAAAGUUUUUCGGUUUGGGAUGGGCCCGCGGCCUAUCAGGUUGUUGGUGAGGUAACGGCUCACCAAGGCUACGACGGGUAACCGGCCUGAGAGGGCGACCGGUCACACUGGGACUGAGACACGGCCCAGACUCCUACGGGAGGCAGCAGUGGGGAAUAUUGCGCAUUGGGCGAAAGCCUGACGCAGCGACGCCGCGUGAGGGAUGAAGGUCUUCGGAUCGUAAACCUCUUUCAGUAGGGACGAAGCGAAAGUGACGGUACCUAAAGAAGAAGCACCGGCUAACUACGUGCCAGCCGCCGCGGUAA
rnacentral:rRNA from 1 species